rnacentral:rRNA from 1 species
GAGAGAGACAUGCGCGCAUAUCAAUAAGCGGAGGAAAAGAAACUAACAAGGAUUCCCUUAGUAACGGCGAGUGAAGCGGGAAGAGCUCAAAUUUGAAAUCUUCAAGGUUUUACCUUGACGAAUUGUAGUUUAAAGAAGUGUUUUCUGCUGAAGUUUUGGUAAAAGUUCUUUGGAAUAGGACAUCAUAGAGGGUGAGAAUCCCGUAUUUGACCAUUAUUUUCAGCUUUGUGAUACACUUUCAAAGAGUCGGAUUGUUUGGGAAUGCAGUCCAAAAUGGGUGGUAAAUUUCAUCUAAAGCUAAAUAUUGGCGAGAGACCGAUAGCGAACAAGUACCGUGAGGGAAAGAUGAAAAGAACUUUGAAAAGAGAGUUAAACAGUACGUGAAAUUGUCAAAAGGGAAGCGUUUGACACCAGUGUUGUUUUCUCGAAAGUCAAUUAAAAAUGGCUCGAUUUUGUAUUGCUUGAGACCUUAAAAGCUCACUGUACAUUUUUCGUGUCUUUUUUAAUGCACUUUUCGUUUAACAAGUCAACAUCAGUUUCUUUUGUUGUAAAAGGGUCAUUGGAAGGUGGUUUUCUUUUCGGAGAAAGUGUUUAUAGCCUUUGGCCUCUGCAAUCGGAGAGACUGAGGUCUGCAGCGUAGACUCUUCGGGGUUAGAUACAUUUGUGCUAAGUUAUAGCUUUUUAUAGACUAACUUGUUGACUAUAAUUAGUCUUGUAGCUUACUCGCUUAUGCUAUUUUACCUACGCUUAGGAUGUUGAAGAUGUAGCACAUCAU